rnacentral:tRNA from 1 species
GCCUGGGUGGCUCAGUCGGUUGAGCGUCUGACUCUCGGUUUCGGGUCAGGUCAUGAUCUCACGGUUCGUGGGUUCGAGCCCCACGUCCGGCU